AAAUUGAAGAGUUUGAUCAUGGCUCAGAUUGAACGCUGGCGGCAGGCCUAACACAUGCAAGUCGAACGGUAACAGGAAGCAGCUUGCUGCUUCGCUGACGAGUGGCGGACGGGUGAGUAAUGUCUGGGAAACUGCCUGAUGGAGGGGGAUAACUACUGGAAACGGUAGCUAAUACCGCAUAAUGUCGCAAGACCAAAGAGGGGGACCUU
rnacentral:rRNA from 3 species